GGCUCAAACACAAACUGAAAACACACAUAACAUCCACACCCUCCUCCUCAUAUGCAGAUAGCCUUUCAUAAGGCCCUGGGAGGGCUCCAACCCUAUAAGUUUUUAUUUAUUUAAGUCAUCUCCACACUCAACGUGGGGCCCAAAUUCAGGACGCAGAGAUCAAGAGUCACAUGCUCCACCAACUGAGCCAGCCCGAAGCCCCAGCUUUGUUCAAUGUUUAAUGAAGUUUCGGAUAAACAAACUGAGCCCCAUUGGUACAAUGAAAUGUUACUCAACAACGAAGAAGGAAUGAACUGCUGAUACACAGAACAUGGCUGAACUUCAGAAACCUUAUUUUGAGUGAAAGAUGCCAGACACCAACAAACACACUCUAUAUACUUCUACAUAUCAGACGUUCAGGAACAAUUUUAUGCAUCGUAAUGAGUGUCAGAACAAUGGUUACAACAACACAAUAAUGGUUACAACCCUGUUGUGUUGACUUGGGAAGGACACAUAGGACAUUUCUGGAGUGAUGGAAAUGGUCCGAAUCUUGGAAGGAAUGUGGGUUACCAAAAUAAAAGCAUCGGUCAAUAUCA